GAAAUGCGAUAAGUAAUGUGAAUUGCAGAAUUCAGUGAAUCAUCGAAUCUUUGAACGCACAUUGCGCCCGCCAGUAUUCUGGCGGGCAAGCCUGUUCGAGCGUCAUUUCAACCAUCAAGCCCCGCGCUUGUGUUGGGGACCUGCGGCUGCCGCAGGCCCUGAAAACCAGUGGCGGGCUCGCUGUCACACCGGGCGUAGUAGAUUUUAUCUCGCUCAGGGCGUGCUGCGGGUUCCGGCCGUUAAAAAGCCUUUUUUACCCAAGGUUGACCUCGGAUCAGGUAGGAAGACCCGCUGAACUUAAGC
rnacentral:misc_RNA from 1 species